GCCAAGAACAAUGGGUGUUAAUAUGACACGGCGCUGACAUCACGCCAGGCACCGUUCCAGACGUUUUACGUAUAUUAACGAGCCUGCCACGCUCACAACCAUCCUACGGGGCAGUUGCCGCCCUGGCCCUCAUGUGGCAGAGGGGGAAGGAAAGCGCAGAGAGCUGAAGACACUGGCCCAGGCUCACACGGCACGUGCGGGAGAGUGAGGACGCAGAGCCAGGCCCUGGGCGCCACACUCCAUGCGGACGACCCUCCCCUCCGCCUCCUGUGCCCACCAGGCGCUGCUUGCCUGGGAAGAGGCCGAGGCCAGCGACCCAGGGAGCUUCGGACUCACUUCCUACCCCUCAGCCGAUGGACCCCAAGCCCCUGUUAGGUGUGAGUGUGCAGCACACGUAUCCACACGGAUUAUAAUGAAGGGUUUGCAGACCAUGACCUGGUGCAACACCCGCGAGACCUGGACUGGCUGGCCUCGCCCCCGUGGAGGACGCCCCGGGGUGGGAGUGGGCGUUUCUGCCCACUUGCAGUGACUUGCCCCUCUCCCGCCGGUCGGGCCACCCCCCGGGCGUGUCGCUGAUGAGUCGUCUGCACUGACCGGAGGGACGGCUGACCCAACCCGCCUUCAUCACCAGGUCGGUGGGGAAACGUCUGGCUGCACAGAGGGGAUGAUUUGCCUCCAAACGCAGAGCCCGGUGCUGGGGACAUAAUGGGAAUUUGUGACACUCGAUGGAGAACUUGAGGCCCAUAAACCCUUAGACAGUAUGUAGUCGCUCAUCUGUGACAGACAUAAUAGGGAUAAUCGUCACCUAAUAAGUAAUCCAGGGCUAAUUAAAUGUUACUAAUACACGUUGCAAAGAUUCUUUCUUCCCCUCUCCUACUCCUCCCGAGUGCCCUGCGUGAACGUGUGCACCAGAAGCUAGCUCCUGCGUGGGGAAAAUGAGGAAAAUAAUGAAAAAGGAAAAAAAAAAAAAUCCGCCGCAAUGGAGGUGAGAAUGCUCGGUCCCUCACUCCCCAGAAUCCCUUCCGUACACGCGCAGGCAGGCUCGCUCGCUGGGCUGGGCGGCGGUGGGGCACAGUGGCCCCGACGUCUUGCACACUUACAGCCGGUGUGGCCAAGGCAUCAUGUGACCACAUAAACCACACCUGGA
rnacentral:lncRNA from 1 species